AUUGAACGCUGGCGGCAGGCCUAACACAUGCAAGUCGAACGGUAGCACAGAAGAGCUUGCUCUUUGGGUGGCGAGUGGCGGACGGGUGAGUAAUGUCUGGGAAACUGCCCGAUGGAGGGGGAUAACUACUGGAAACGGUAGCUAAUACCGCAUAACGUCGCAAGACCAAAGUGGGGGACCUUCGGGCCUCACACCAUCGGAUGUGCCCAGAUGGGAUUAGCUAGUAGGUGGGGUAAUGGCUCACCUAGGCGACGAUCCCUAGCUGGUCUGAGAGGAUGACCAGCCACACUGGAACUGAGACACGGUCCAGACUCCUACGGGAGGCAGCAGUGGGGAAUAUUGCACAAUGGGCGCAAGCCUGAUGCAGCCAUGCCGCGUGUAUGAAGAAGGCCUUCGGGUUGUAAAGUACUUUCAGCGGGGAGGAAGGCGGUGAGGUUAAUAACCUUGCCGAUUGACGUUACCCGCAGAAGAAGCACCGGCUAACUCCGUGCCAGCCGCCGCGGUAAGAC
rnacentral:rRNA from 1 species